rnacentral:rRNA from 1 species
AGCACAGGAGAGCUUGCUCUCUGGGUGGCGAGUGGCGGACGGGUGAGGAAUACAUCGGAAUCUACUUUUUCGUGGGGGAUAACGUAGGGAAACUUACGCUAAUACCGCAUACGACCUACGGGUGAAAGCAGGGGAUCUUCGGACCUUGCGCGAUUGAAUGAGCCGAUGUCGGAUUAGCUAGUUGGCGGGGUAAAGGCCCACCAAGGCGACGAUCCGUAGCUGGUCUGAGAGGAUGAUCAGCCACACUGGAACUGAGACACGGUCCAGACUCCUACGGGAGGCAGCAGUGGGGAAUAUUGGACAAUGGGCGCAAGCCUGAUCCAGCCAUACCGCGUGGGUGAAGAAGGCCUUCGGGUUGUAAAGCCCUUUUGUUGGGAAAGAAAUCCAGCUGGCUAAUACCCGGUUGGGAUGACGGUACCCAAAGAAUAAGCACCGGCUAACUUCGUGCCAGCAGCCGCGGUAAUACGAAGGGUGCAAGCGUUACUCGGAAUUACUGGGCGUAAAGCGUGCGUAGGUGGUCGUUUAAGUCCGUUGUGAAAGCCCUGGGCUCAACCUGGGAACUGCAGUGGAUACUGGGCGACUAGAGUGUGGUAGAGGGUAGCGGAAUUCCUGGUGUAGCAGUGAAAUGCGUAGAGAUCAGGAGGAACAUCCAUGGCGAAGGCAGCUACCUGGACCAACACUGACACUGAGGCACGAAAGCGUGGGGGAGCAAACAGGAUUAGAUACCCUGGUAGUCCACGCCCUAAACGAUGCGAACUGGAUGUUGGGUGCAAUUUGGCACGCAGUAUCGAAGCUAACGCGUUAAGUUCGCCGCCUGGGGAGUACGGUCGCAAGACUGAAACUCAAAGGAAUUGACGGGGGCCCGCACAAGCGGUGGAGUAUGUGGUUUAAUUCGAUGCAACGCGAAGAACCUUACCUGGCUUUGACAUGUCGAGAACUUU